rnacentral:lncRNA from 1 species
UGAUGUUUUGCUUUUGAGCAUGCUUCUGAUCUUCAAUUUUCGUAGUCAUCUUAUGCCAAUAUAAGGUGAUAGAGCCUUUUUUCUUUUCUUUUUUCUUUCUUUGUCACGGCAAAAUACCCCUUGAAUUGCAAUGUUACAUAUUUCUCAGUUCAAUGUUAUUUUUAUAAUAGAUUAAUACUUAAUUAAUAAUUAAUUUGUAGUUCAAGUAGUUAAAAGGGUUUAUCUAUGAAUACGUGGUCCUGCCUUAAAUUCCUCUUCUCCCUAAUAUUGUUUUUAUAAAUAAAUAAAAAUGUGUAAAAUGGUGAUAGGAAGGGAUUUGUAUCGUUACAACCAUUACCCAUGUAUUUGAGAAGAGUAUUUACUCAUACACCUGAGGUCUUAGAUUCGAUUUCCCUCUUUAAUAUCGCUUGUAUCAAAUGAAAAUGUGAUAUAUGGUGGUUGGUUCAUAUAGAACAAUUGUUAGGUUUAUUGUCUUUGGUCGGUUGUACUACCUGAUUUAGGUUUGGGACUUCAUGUUUUAUGUGUUGUGGCCAUCUUGCUUUCUGUAAUGAAUUUUAUAUUCGGACAAAAGAAGAGUUGAGGGAUAAUUAUAAGGUGUGGUGUGGUUGGUAAAUUGAUAUUUUUAGUUGGCGAGUUAUCUGGUGCUUCAAUAGUAGGGGUUCGAAACCCGUUGAAAACACUUUGUGGUCAAGGUCAAGCCGAACCUCAAGCCGAACCUCAAGCGGGGAUUAAUCCCACCCUUCAGGUGUGGGGACAUCUUGUGGUGUUUACCAAAAAAAAAAAAAGAAGUUGAGGAUGGUUGGACCACUAAAUUUAAGUACUCGUAAGACCAUCUCGAACUAUGUUGAAGCUAAACUCAAAAUUCUACCCUUCAAAAUACAGCUAUUCAUAUAUUGUCUGGACUCAAAUUGUUUUUUCCUCCAACUAUGUAGACUUAUAAUUUGAGUCCACAACUUUAUUAAAUUGUUUAAAAAUAAUUAACCUUCAAUUUUGUUUUGGCGUUAAUUUUUCUUGACAUUAUUUUUGUUUCAACAUUC